UAACGCUUGGGAUGGGCCCGCGUCCCAUAGCUAGUUGUUGGGUAACGGCCUACCAAGGCAACGAUCAGUAGCCGGCCUGAGAGGGUGACCGGCCACACUGGGACUGAGACACGGCCCAGACUCCUACGGGAGGCAGCAGUGGGGAAUCUUCCGCAAUGGACGAAAGUCUGACGGAGCGACGCCGCGUGUACGAAGAAGGCCUUCGGGUUGUAAAGUACUGUUGUUGGGGAAGAACGGCUCAAGUGUGAAUAAUGCUUGAGAUUGACGGUACCCAACGAGGAAGCCCCGGCUAACUACGUGCCAGCAGCCGCGGUAACACGUAGGGGGCGAGCGUUGUCCGGAAUUAUUGGGCGUAAAGGGCGCGUAGGCGGC
rnacentral:rRNA from 1 species